rnacentral:lncRNA from 10 species
UCCAGUUUGGUUAAUUUAAUAGCAGGAAUGUUUCCUCUUUCUGUUGUACCCCAUAUGAUUGAUUGCCAGGUGCUAUAGCCUGUUCUAUGUAUUAUGAAAAUCUUAAUUACAGAAAAUAUCUCUCCUUUCACUCCUUGGGCAACUUUUUUUAAUAGAAGAGGCUUUACAGCAUCCCUUUGUAUUAAUCAACAUGGACUUACAGCCAUAGAAAUAUCACCAGAAUUCUAUGGUCAAAUAUAAUUAAGGCUUAUUUCUUGCUCAGGUCAUAUUCUGGUUCAAACAGACUGGAGUGAGGAGAAUGUUCUGUUCCAUGAAGACAUUCAGGGAUCCAGGCUCCUUCUAUUUGGUAGCUGCAGCGUCUUCUGGGGUUUCAGAAUAACAUGCUGGAUCCUCUGCACCUGCCGUGAGAUAGGAGACUUUUUCUAACCAAUGGAAGGUGGCAAAGGUGUGUGAGUCACAUCCUUGAGUAUGUUUUGUUAGAAUGUCACGUUUGUGAUUUUAUUACGUCACUUUAUAUAAGGCUCUGUCUCCCUAGGAUUUUUUGCUUGCUGGCUUGAUGAAUUAAGCCAGGUGGAAAGGUUUUCUUUAAGUGGGCAGCCUCAAGCCAACAGCCAGCAAGGAAUAAAAGCCCUAUAUUCCACAACCUAAGAAAAUAAAUUCUUCCAACAACCUGAGUAAGGUUGGAAGCUGAUUCUUCUCCAGACUCCCAGAUGAGAACACAGGCAGGCUGACUCUUGAGUCCAGCCUUGUGGAACCCAGAGAAGAGGGCCCAGGUAAGCCAUGGCUAGACUCCUGACUGACAGAAAUUGUGACAUCACACAUGUGUUAUUUUAAGCUACUAAGUUGGUGGUAAUUUGUUGUGCAACAAUAGAAUACUCAUAUAGCUUAGCUGAAUCAUGAUUAACCACUGGAAGAAGAAGGAAGCCAAAGUAUCUGAUGCACUGGAGAAUGAAAACCCGUUCAAAAUCAGGAAGUAUAGAGAAGUUUUCUGUAAAAUGGAAAUGAGUAUCAUGAAGUUUUAAAUGAACAGUGUAAAACAGAAGACAUCAGCAUUCAUUAGGUCCCAGACCUCUUUGAGAAUCUGAUGAAAUUCUGGACAACCUCUCCUCCCACAAACAAGAUGUACUAGAAUACCUACACAUAAAAUGUUGCAUUCAAUUUUGGAAUGUGAAGAGAUCAUUUGAAGCCGAUCCAGAGGCCUCUAAGGUAGCCUUAAAACCAGCCAUGGAUUUCAUUGUCCCCAUUCGCCUUGGCAUUGUGGUCAUGUCUGUAACAAUUAGCACUACAAUCAUUGACGCAGCCUAGAUAGAAAAGAACAGAGGGGAAAUUCUCUAGCAACGUUUGAGAUUGCACUAAGUAUCUCCCUGUGUGCUGCUCCAGGGACUUGACUGGUGCAGUAUUGGUGGCUGCUGGGUCAGAUGAGCUCCCUGCUAUUCCAAGAAACAAUACAUGUUUGCAGCCACUAAGAUUUGAGGACUUUUGUUAUUACUGCCUAUCCUGACAGACUCAGGUGCUACAACUAUUUAAGGGCAUAAGUAUAAUAAAUUAAUAUCUAGUUUUAUGUUUUCAGAUGUCUUAAAACUAUUUAAGGGGAUCCACGCAAAAUGUUGUUCCCUUAAAAGAGGGCACAUCUCUCUCACGUGGAGAAAUACUGGUAAGAGGAAAAGACUUUCAAGUCAACCAACUUGAUGUGGUGUGCAGGUGCUGCAAUUUACUUCAGACAUUGCAUCUAUAAAAGAAAGAUAAGGUCUCGGCUGGCAAGAUGGCCUAAGAGGAACAGCUCCAGUCUGCAGCUCCCAGCAAGAUUGAUGCAGAAGGGUUGACUGUGGAACAAGUGUUCAGGAUCAGGAGGCAGAAGACCUUUGCAGAAAGAGGAGGAGGGCCUGUGAUUAGGCCAGCAAUGGCAGGGUGGAGUCAGGCCAGGACCAGAGCUGAUGGCUAAGGCACUCAAGUAGAAGCCGCUAGAGUAUCUGUGGAGAAGCCUGGGGUAUAGAGGUGAUACAAGACUCACCAUUUUAAAAAAUGUUUUUUAGUGACCGGAUCUCACUCUGGCACCUAGACUGGAGGGUACUGGCAUGAACUCCUGGGCUCAGAUGUCCUCCCACCUCCACCUUCUGAGUAGCCGGAAUUACAGGAAUGAACCAUCAUGCUCAGCCUACUCUGAGAAAAAAUUUUUUUAUCAUAGUACCAACAGCACUUAGCACUUUUCAUUUGUGCCAUAAGUAGAUACAUACAUGUGUUUUCCAUUCUACGAGAUGCUGAGUUCCUGGUACAGGUCAGGGACUGACUGUGUCCUUUAUUUGUUUUAAUUUUUUUUUAUGAGCUCAGUUCAACAAACACAUAAGGAGUGCUUACUCGGUGUUAGGCACCAUGCUGGGUGCUGAGGAAGCAAGCCUGUGGUUCUUGUAUUUAAUGUUUUCUGUAAGAACAACUCUCUAGCUAGCACCCUCCAUUUAGUGGGAUCUCUCUAAGUGCUGAAACAUCCCAUGAGCAUUCUGUGUUUUUGCCUAUGCUGCUUUUUCCCAUCUGAAAUACCUUCUUCUCCACCCUUUUCCUAGCCUACUGCUACCUGCUUCUGAAGGAUACUAAGCCCCACCGUUUUCAUGAAUCUUACACUAUAUUUAAUACUAGAGAGGCUCUGUCUCCUCUCUUUCUUUGAAUAUAAUAUGUCAUUUGCACUGAUCGAUGUAAAAUGUGAGUACUUAUUUCUUCAUGUAAUUUAAUAUUGUCCACCUCCCCCCUCCGAUCCCCUGCUAGAUUUCAAGCUCCCUGAAGAUGAAGGCUGAAUCCUACACCUCGCUUGUAUCCUCCAUGGCUCAUUGAACAAGUGCUAGCUAGCUACAUGGAGACUGCUCAAUAAAUAUUGAAUAACUCACGAGGGACUCAAUAAAUAACGAUUGCUUAAUUGAUUAGCUCCGUCAAUAAAUCUUGCUUUGAACAGAGGUACAGCCAUUGAAGAUACUCAAAAGGCAAUCUCGGUCACUGUGCCUCUGGAUAGGGGAAAGCUCCAUGAAUGUAAGAUCUGGUGGGAGAAGGCAAGUUAUUUAACCUCUCUAAGCCCCGGGAGCUUCAUCUGUAAAAUGGGAAAAUACUGUAGUGCUUCCGUGUCAUUGUCACUGUGACAAUGUAAUGAGGAUGAUGCACAGAAGGCAUUUAUCACACUGCCUAGUCCAUUAUAAAUUCUUAAUAAACAUUAAUUGAUAUUAGCUACUCAUAGAUCUUAAGAACUGGAUUGAAAGAAACACCAUGAGAAAACUUUCAAUCUGUAGCAAUAUUACCCAAUAGCUUCA